rnacentral:lncRNA from 1 species
UGAGUGUGAGCAGGUAGGUUGUCUGUGCCAGGGCUGUGUUUCUUCUGCUACUAUGUAGCUACAGUCUCUUGGGAAAACAACUGUCCAAUUUACUGAAGAGGAUGAUACUCUCAGGUCUGAGGCUGAGUCCAUCAAACCUCCUGUAUCUCUGCGGGAAAAUCGGGGAAACUGAGGCAAGGAGAUCUCUCUCUCUCUCUCUCUCUCUCUCUCUCUCUCUCUCUGUGUGUGUGUGUGUGUGUGUGUGUGUGUGUGUGUGUGUGUGUGUGUGUAUUACUUUUGAGUAUCUGUGACCAAACUCUGGGAUGGAAAAACUUUAGGUUGAAAUGAUCUGUUUUGGUCCCUGGAUUGAGAGGGUUCUGUUCACAGUUUCAUUCCCUCAGCUCCUUUGGUUCUGGGCUGGCCCGUGGUGAGACAGAAAGUCACGGUGGAUGUAACACGACAGAAAAUGAAAGCGAUAAUAGGAGACACUCACCCAAUGGCAGGGACAGAUGGCAGAGAAAAGAAUAUGCAAAGGAAGGAAAUGGUGACAUUUCCUGUCACCCAGGCUGAUGGGAAACUCACUAUGUAGCCCAACCUGGCCUUAAACUCAAAAAGCAAUCUCCCUGCCUCAGCCACCCUAGCACCAGAAUCAAGUCCUGAGCUCCCAGGCCCAGCUCACCAAGUCAGUAUUGCUGGAAGGACACUUGCAAAAGGACAGUCAGCAAGGGGAAGGGGGAGGUGUCUGUCGGAAGAGCCAGGAUCUCCUCUGAGAUUAGGAGACACUUGAUGCCCUGUGCCCAUCACAGCCAGGUGAGUCUCCCUCCGCCACUUCCUGCCGCACCGCUCUUAUGUAAACACCCCAGCAACACUGUUUUAAAACGGCUGCGGCGGCGGCGGCGGCGGCGGCGCGUCUGACACUCAAGCUUGAACUUGGAGGUGCAAGGAGCUGAGCAACUGAGUACAAACUCGGAAAAUGUGUGACGCGCGGACGCCGACGACGAUGGCAGGGCUUACAGCCCUGUCAGCAUUUCCCAACUGUGCAAGGAAAUGAGGACUCAGCAACAGAAGCACACCUGCCGCCCCUCAUCGCGGAGAAGACGCAAUAACCUAAGGUAACAGGUUGGGACUGAAGCCCUGGCAUCCUGGAUGAGCAAUCCUAGUUUUCAUUUCCCAGCCCACCCCACCCCCAUCCCCACCCUCAUCCCCACCCUCAUCCGAGACAAUUCAACACCAUGCUUUGAAAAUCCAAGCUAGCUUUGACCUUGCACAAGCCCAGUAAGCUAUAUCCUGAGUCUGGGUAAAAAACCCAUAGUAACCGUCGCUCUCUUCUGGACUACUUGCUCCAUGCUGGGAGACACUCAGAGCAUCCUUGGCGUGUAGACUAAUGGCCCAGUGAACUUCCUGGUAAUGCGUUCUCUAUGCUCCGGAGAACUGGGAACCUAAAGAGCCUCCGGGGAGUUUCAGGAACUUGGUCACAGUUGCACACAGCUCUUAAUCCAAUCAGCCUGAGGCUUCUCUCUAGGUUCCUUGGCUGUAUUGGGUCAACACUGAGCUGGGAAGGGACCAGCUUUGGGGAGUCUCAAAGCAAGUGUGAAUGUGAGCAGUCCCCAACAGGACUCUUGUACUGGGAUUUAGAUAGGAAGGGGUGGAGUCUGAGGGCUCUGACGUCAUCCAGGGGUCUGUCCUUUGAUGGAAUCAAGAUAAAGAUACCAUCUUAUAGGGCUGGUAAAGAAGCAAGGGGGCAGAGUUUAGCUUCAGUAAGCAGAUCACUGGCGGGGGGGGGGGGGUGGAAGUGAAGGGGCAUGUCUCAAAACUCACAAAACUAAGAAUAAACCCAGAGCCUAUUAGAUGGAUCAGAGGGUUAAGAUACUUGCUGCCUAAGCCUGAGGCCCUAAGUUCAAAUCCUGGGACCUAAAUCCUGAUAGAAGGAGAGAACAGACUUCCAUAGCUCUGGCCUCCACACACAUACACUACGGCACAUGAGGGUUUCACACAAGCAAAUACAUUUUUUCAAGCAAUUAAAAUAA